rnacentral:lncRNA from 1 species
CCCUCCCCCAAGUUCUGGCCAAGAGACUUCUCCAUCAGUUGAAAUUGUUACAAAGUUCAGCUGGAGUUUUCCUUCUCCCUGCGGCCUUUCCCAGUGCCUCCAGCAGCCCUCCUCAAGGACCCCUGUGAGGCCAGGCAGAAAUGGCUUGGCAGGGAACCCUGCAAGCCCAGAGGGAUUUUGCCGCUGCUUCCUCUACCCCUGUAUUUCGCUCAGCUCUCUAAAUUGACUCAGCUCCAGAGAUAGGAUCUAGUUCUGUCACCCAGGCUGGAUGGAGUGCAGUGGCAUAAUUAUAGCUCACUGCAGUCAGAAGCUCCUGUGCUCGAGGGAUCCUCCUGCCUCAGCCUUCCCAGUAGCUGGGAUUACAGCUGCUGUCCUCCAACAUAAUGAUCAUCUCUUGCCUCAACUGAUGUACUGUGUCCAGAAUUGGUGGGUUCUAGGUUCUGCUGACUUCAAGAAUAAAGGCACGGACCCUUGCGGGAAGUGUUACAGUUCUUAAAGAUGGCAUGUCUUAAAGAUGGCGCAUCUGGACUCAUUCCUUCCUCCCAGUGGGUUCCUAGUCUGGCUGCCUUCAGCAAUGAAGCAGCAAACCUUUGGAAUGAGAGCUACAGCUCAUAAACACAGUGUUGACCCAAAGAAUAAGCAGCAGCAAGAGUUAUUGCAAAGAACAAAAGUUCCAAGGACUGGAAGGUGACCAGAGCAGGUUGCCACUGCCGGCUCCAGCAGCCUGCUUUUAUUCCCUUAUCUGACCCCACUACAUCCUGUUGAUUGGUCCAUUUUACAGAGGGCUGAUUGGUCUAUUUUACAGAAGGCUGAUUGGUCCAUUUUGACAGAGUGCUAAUUGGUCUGUUUUGACAGAGUGCUGAUUGGCGCGUUUACAAACCUUGAGCUAGACACAGAGUGCUGAUUGGUGCAUUUACACUCCUCUAGCUAGACAUAAAAGUUUUCCAAGUCCCCACCCCACUCAGGAGUCCAGCUAGCUUCC